rnacentral:rRNA from 1 species
GAUGAACGCUGGCGGCGUGCUUAAUACAUGCAAGUCGAACGAGGAACUUUUGUCUUCGGAUGGAGGUUUCCUAGUGGCGAACGGGUGAGUAACGCGUUGGUGACCUGCCUCGAAGUGGGGGAUAACAGUUCGAAAGGACUGCUAAUACCCCAUGGUAUCUAUAGGGUUAGAGACCUGUUGAUUAAAGGAGUAAUCCGCUUCGAGAGGGGCCUGCGUCCCAUCAGCUUGUUGGUAGGGUAAAAGCCUACCAAGGCUAUGACGGGUAGGGGACCUGAGAGGGUGGUCCCCCACAAUGGCACUGAAACACGGGCCAUACACCUACGGGAGGCAG